GUAGUUUGGCAAUAAAUGUAUAAGUUCAACAUGUGAUGAAGAAUGUAGCUAAAUGCAAUAAUAUUUGUGAAAUGCAGAAUCCCGUGAAUCAAUUCAUGUUUGAAUGUGUCUUGCAUCUUU
rnacentral:rRNA from 1 species